AACCUCCACAAUGCACGAAAGUGCGAUGGGGGAACCCCAAGUGCCUAUGCACAGCAUAGGCUUUUCCCAAGUGUAAAUAGCUGGGGAAUAAGGGCUGGCAUGCUGC
rnacentral:rRNA from 1 species